rnacentral:rRNA from 1 species
AUUGAACGCUGGCGGAAUGCUUUACACAUGCAAGUCGAACGGCAGCACAGGUGCUUGCACCUGGUGGCGAGUGGCGAACGGGUGAGUAAUACAUCGGAACGUGCCCAGACGUGGGGGAUAGCUCGGCGAAAGCCGAAUUAAUACCGCAUACGAUCUACGGAUGAAAGCGGGGGGAUCGCAAGACCUCGCGCGUUUGGAGCGGCCGAUGGCAGAUUAGGUAGUUGGUGGGGUAAAGGCUUACCAAGCCUGCGAUCUGUAGCUGGCUGAGAGGACGACCAGCCACACUGGGACUGAGACACGGCCCAGACUCCUACGGGAGGCAGCAGUGGGGAAUUUUGGACAAUGGGCGAAAGCCUGAUCCAGCCAUUCCGCGUGCAGGAUGAAGGCCCUCGGGUUGUAAACUGCUUUUGUACGGAACGAAAAGCCCUCUUCUAAUACAGGGGGUCAUGACGGUACCGUAAGAAUAAGCACCGGCUAACUACGUGCCAGCAGCCGCGGU